rnacentral:rRNA from 1 species
UACGUAGGGGGCUAGCGUUGUCCGGAAUCAUUGGGCGUAAAGCGCGCGUAGGCGGCCCGGUAAGUCCGCUGUAAAAGUCAAAGGCUCAACCUUUGAAUGUCAGUGGAUACUGCCGGGCUAGAGUCCGGAAGAGGCGAGUGGAACUCCUGGUGUAGCGGUGGAAUGCGCAGAUAUCAGGAAGAACAUCGGUGGCGAAGGCGCUCUGCUGGACCAUAACUGACACUCAGGGACGAAAGCUAGGGGAGCGAAUGGG